rnacentral:lncRNA from 1 species
AAAUCUCAGCUUCCCACUGCCAUAUUUACAGUUUGAUUAGGGAGGCACAUUUAGAUAUGCAGUGAUAAUUGCUUUGCUUAGAGAAAUUCAAGGUGAUAGAAUGCACGGUGACACCUAACCCAGACUGGUAGAGAAAGGGAAUUCUUCCACUGGGAAUGACAUGAUUAUCUAAAUAAGUAGGCUCAAUCAGGUCAGGAAAGGGCCUGAAAGACUAUUUCAAGCAGAGGGAAGGUAUUUGCUAAGGUCAGGGUGUGUAGUGGAGAGCAUGGGCAGUGGGAGAGAAUUAUGAAGUGUUUCAAUGACUAAAAGUAAAGUAACAAGCUCCUUGUCCAAGAACUUGGAUUGUAUCCUAACUGAAAUGAAUAUGCACUAAGUGUUUGAAGAAGAGGGAUGAAAUGGUCAAGUUUUCAUUACACAAAAAUAACCUGUUCCUUUCAUUUUAUGUUUAUUUAUUUUUUUAAUUUUCUGACUGCUCCUUUCUGGAAAUCUCAAAUUUAUAUUUGCCAAAUAUUGUCGCAUUUUUGACGGAGAAUACAAACUAAGAAUGGGUUAGGGAACUGAGUCAGAAAGUCCCUGUUGUACAAUUCAAUCAUGUUUUUCUAAGGAUGUGCUUUUGGAUAUUAUGGAAACUAUCUUAGGCUCUCACUUGGAUCCUAGAAAAGAAGGCACCUGUUAAAAGGAAUGUCCAGCCCCACCUAAUUUGGCAGCUGCCCCUCCAGGCUAAUGACAUUAGGGAUGUAGUGGACUCAGGAGGCUGAUGAUGCCAUCUGGUCAACUCAUGUGACUAUUUCUAUCAGCUUUAUUUCUGCAACAUCCUGUGCCCACAGAGGGGACACAAAAUCGCUUUAUAAUUCCUUCACCAUAUUAAGAUACAGAUACACCCAGAACCUUAAAGGCAAGAAUAUGAUUGAAAUGUCAAAUGGGGACUUGGUGACCUAAAUUAUGUCCCCCAAAAGCCAAUGUCUUGCCACCACCAGUGCCCUACGGGUGGAGUUUCUAAACAGAUUACUCAAAACACAAACUUUCAAAAAGGGAAAGUCAUAACUCUCUGGUCAUCAGGGUAAUUAUGGAAUAACAUUGCUGGAGUAAGGUUUUCUCAAUGUCCAAGAGAUGAGCUGGCAAUGCCACAACAAUGUCCAAUUCUUAGUGGGUCCAAGACCAUGUGUUACAUUUCCCUCCCAUGAUUACUCACAGCUUCACAGUUCUGCUGUCCUGUUCGCCUCUCUGCCACCUCUUAACUGCACCUUUGACCUCCUACCCCUAAGUUUCAACCCUGUGAGAUUACUUGUCUUUUCAUCUACACUCUGGUCACUCUGACCCCCAUUCUUUAGAUUCAGGAUUUUCUCUUUUCCUGGAUUAUUCUCCAGCACAAGUAGAAAAAUAUUGUGCUUCAUUGGAAAAUGCAUGUUGUUUGAAUCACACCCUUUCAGAUUAUACAAUUGUAGUCUUUCAUUAUCUUUGAGCCAUUUUACAACGCUGUAAACUAAUAUUAAUCCAUAUAAUUCUUGUCUAUAGACAUGUAAAUUGUGUCCAGGGGUGAUUUAAUUGACUUUUCUUCUCCAUUGUGGAAAAGGCUACUAGUUUUGCCCCCAUUUGCCCAUUUAUUUCUAUUUUCCUGAUCUGUAAAUGCAUUUCUGGGUUUUCCCUUGGACUCAUUCUAACAUCUCUUCGGUUUCCUCAUUAAUUAAUUAAAUUAAAUCUUUAACACCUCUUCAUAUUUUUGUCAGUAUGAGAGUAUUAAAAAAAUUAUCUUUUUUUGAAAAUUAUCUUUUAAUAGAUGACAAAAAGAAUAAACACUAAACAAGAAGUCCUGAGCUCCUACUACAAUCCAAAGUGAACUAGUUGUAGUGCCAUAGGAUGAUGUUUCUCCUGAGACCUCUUUACUAGAAUAAUUUAGGUUGUUAUAAAUGCAGAUUCCUGGGCCUCUCCUUAGACCCACUGAAUCAGACACUCUAAGAAGAGGGUCAGAAAUCUCCAUCUUAGCAAGUUAAUGUCCAGGAGAGUUAGAGACUCACUAUGAGAUACGAUAAAAAGUAGAAGGAAAGACUUUCCAGCACCUUAAACUACUUGGAAAGAUAGAUUAAUGUCUAGAUGAAGCUAUUGAUGAGACUUUAGACUAAUAUGUUACAUAUACAUCUGGAGAUGCAUGUAUAAACCAAAUCCAAAUAACCCAAAGCAAAAUUUAUUUUAGAAAUAAUGAUAAAUAAAUGAGUGAGGAGUUUGUCACUCACAUCCCCCAGGUAAAACAUACCUUUUUAGCCUAAAUAGGUGCUAUAGUUUGAAUGUGUUCCCUCCAAAAUUCAGGUACUAAUAGUUAACAGUACCUGUAAUAUGAUGGUAUUACAGACAAUAGUGGGUUCUUUAGGAGGUGGUUAGGCCAUGAGUGCCUCCCCCAAGAAUGGGAUGAAGGACCUCAUAAAAGAAUAUUCUCACAGCAUUGUGACCCUUGCCCUCCCACCUUCCAUAAAUGAGGACACACUGUUCCUCCCCUCUGGAGGAUGCAGCAACAAAGUAUCAUCUUGGAAGCAGAGGAGCCAUCACCAGACAACAGAACCAGCCAACAGCUUGAUCCUGGACAUCUCAUUUUCUCCAGAACUGGGAUAAAAUAAAUUCCUAUUUUUAAAUAAAUUUCUCAAUUUCAGGUAUUUUGCGAUAGCAGCAAAAACAGACUAAGACAACUAGUAUGAAAAUAUACAUUAACAAAUAAAAUUAAUCAUAAUAUAUGUUUGCUUUUAAAAGAAAAUAAAUACAUCAGUAUGCUUUCUGUUGAUUGAUUGAUUUACUAAACAUUGAUUGACCAUCUCCACUGGGGAUAUGGCAUUUAAGAGAAGGUCUCUUUGAUCUUAGUACUUUUAUUGCUUUUUAAAUAGGAUCAAAUACACCCAAGGUAAAAAAUAGAACACAAUAUACGUUACAUUUUGGAACUGUUAGAAAUUCCUUUGAAGCUAAAAUUACUGUUAUCAUUUGACAACCUUUACCCCUAAAAUAAUGUGGUGCUCACCUACUUGCUUAAGUUACAGCACUUGCUGUCUUCUCAGAUACAAUAUCAGAAACUCAUAAUCUGAGAAAAAAUCUAAAUGGCAAGUGUGGGUUAAUAGAAGCCUCAUAAAGCAAGAGGUGUUUUGGAAGUGUAUGGAAGACAUCAAUAAAUGAUAUGUAUAACAUCAAGUGCAAAAGUGUGUGCUAGGAAAGUUCAAGAAAGAAAAAAAAAUAGUAAGGUAAGACCAGAGAUUGGGGAGUAUAUAGCUUUUGGGAAUUCAGGAAAUGCUAACAUCUAUGGAGAAUUUGCAUAGGUGAAAGAUCAGAUUGGAAGCCUUUCUCUGUGGAAGCAUCGUGGAUCUAAGUCCAGAAGUGAUCCUGAGCCACCUACUAUGGAAAGGUGUCAGUGAGCAAGAGCCUGUCUGACAAAGAUGGAAGCUGAGCAGACUUCUACUGCGCAUCGCCUAUGUACAGGCCAGAUUCCAAGAGGCUGAUAUUCCACUGCUAGUUUGAUCUUUCUCAGAUAGCUGGGUAGAGAGGGAAAAGUUUCACCCCAAAUACUAGAUGCCUUCAAACAUCUAGAUGCUUGGUGUUAUGUAUUUCAAGCAGCAGGUUUGAUAAAGCUGUUUUUACUCUCCAGUUGGAUGUUGGUUGUCAAGACUGUCAUUAACUUCUGGGAGUUCCCAAAUCCUCAGAGAGAGAGAAAUAAGCAGUUCUGCCUGCAAUCAGGAGCUGGCUUUGAGCCCCACAUGGCAACAUGCCUGUAUUUAAUUAGAAGUGGCUUAGUUCUUGGGAUUUACUGUGGAUUGAGUCUACGAAGCUGGAAGGUUUUAUCCUGAGUAUUCCACUGUCUUCUCAUGUGGAUUUUAUCAAAUUUCUCCUUUAACCAUAUAAGGGCUUUCAAAGUUGACAUAUCACACUUAGUUAUGAGGGGAAGCUAGUAGUAUGAUUGUGAGGUGCAUUGUUGAGAGACCACGCUUUGUAAGUGUUAAUAAUUAAAAUUAUUUUGAACACUAAUUAUGCUGAAGACUGGAUUUUCUACUCCUUCAGAUGUUUUCCAGUGGACAUAUUUUGCCCUUUUAAUAAAUUGAUCGCAAACUUAUCUUCAUUUCACCUUUAUGAUGUUAUACCUUUUCAUUUUUGUCUUCUUAUAGCUAGGGUCUCCUGGUCCCCAAAUGUAGACACACAUCUUGCACCAAUCCAGAGCCAUCUUGUAUAAGAGGCACCAUGGAUUUUACCAGCUUUAACUCCAAUAUUUGAACAUAAUGUUCAGCAUCAUCACCUGGCCACCAAGUCAAAACUGAGCACCCUUUAAUCCAUCAACAAGUUCUCUGCAGCCAUGCAAGGUUAUGAAAUGGGCACAGACAUCAAUAUACAGUCUUUGUGUUUAAGAGGUUCAUGGUCUACCUGAGAAAUGCAUCUUUAAACCUAAAAUAGACACUCCAUUUAUUCCAUAAAUGUUUUUUAAGCAUCAAUGGUAUAUCAAGCACUGUACUGGCUUCUGGGCUAUAAUAAAUAUAUAAAGACCACAAGUUUGAAUUUCAUAACAUUGAACUAUAAUGUUUAAAUAGUAUAAUAAUCAUAGUAAAUGUCCUUGAGGAGCUACAGAAGAUUCCUGUGUGAAGCAGAAACAAGAAGUUGAAGAAAAAACAACCGGCUUUGGGGGCUAUAUAAAAAUAUAACCCUCAAAUAAAAAACUCAAUAGUUUGAUUGAUUACCAAAUCAAUACAGCCAGAAAAUAAAUGUGUGACCCCAAAAGCUUGAGUGAAGAAAAUCUUCUGUAAGUCACUAGAAAGUGCUAAGGAGGAAAUAAAAGAAUGGUAUUGCUGAGAGCCAGGUGCUUUCUGUAGGACACACAGAUACAGAAUGAGGGAAAACAGAAAAUUCUAUGGUUGUGGAUUCAAAAUAGAGGCAUCACCAUGUCUAUCUCAUCAGGGUUUAACCGAGGAAACCAAACCAGUAAGAUAUCUAUAUUAAGAGAUUUCUUGCAAAGAAUUGACCUAUGUGACUGUGGGCACUGGCUAGGCAAAUCCUAAGUCCACAGAGCAGGCAGGAAGAAAACAGGCUGGGACUUGUAGGCACAGGAUGAAGCUGCAAUACUCAUGUGGAUGCUGCUCUUCUUCAGGGAAGAGUCGGCUCUGCUCUCAAGGACUUUCAGGUGAUUAAAUCAGGCCCACUCACAUUAUCUAAAAUAAUCUCCCUUACUCAAAACCAAGUGAUUAUGGACUUUAAUCACAUCUAUAAAAUAUCAUUAUAGUAACACCUAAAUUAGUGUUUGAAUAACUGAGAGUUGUAACUGAUAUGGUUUGGCUGUGUCCCCACCCAAAUCUCAUCUUGAAUUGUAGUUCUUAUAAUCCCCAUGUGUUGUGGGAGGAACCACGUGGAGAUAAUUGAAUCAUAGGGGCAGUUUCUCCCAUUCUGUUCUCAUGCUAGUGAGUUAGUUCUCAUGAGAUCUCAUGGUUUUAUAAAGGGCUUCCCCCUUUGCUCGGUUUUCAUUCUCCUUCUUCCUGCUGCCAUGUGAAGAAGGACAUGUUUGCUUCCCCUUCUGCCAUGAUCGUAAGUUUCCUGUGGCCUCCCCAGCCAUGCUGAACUGUGAGUCAAUUAAAUCUCUUUUCUUUAUAAAUUACCCAGUCUUGGGCAGUUCCUUAUAGCAGCAUGAGAAUGGACUAAUACAGUAACUUUACCAAGUGGACACAUAAAACUGAUCAUUACAAUGUACAGUGAAUAUUUGGUGAGUUAAUAGAUAUAUUCAUAACUGAAUGAAAGAGGAUGGUGAUCCCUACUUCAGGGUGGUAUUAUGAGAGUUAAAAGGGUUAGCAUAGAUAGAACGCUUUUCUAUGAUUGAUCUAAGGUUGGCUUUUAGGGACUACAUUAUACAUGUGGGUUUUGUUUUCAUGUUUUUACUUGCAUUUCUAUCUCUGCCCACUCUUGGGUCUAUUUGGAUGUCACCUCUUCUUCUUCUGAGCUCCAGUCUAUGUAUUCCCUGUUCCACUGUCACAACCAAUGAAGUCUACACUCCUCAUUAGAUUCAUGGAACCCAGAUGCCAGCCAAAGACAUCUCUUUCCCUCAUGACCCAGUUGAAAAAAUUCUCCACCCCUCUGUUAAUUCUAGAAUAUUUAGGAGUAAAGGUCUUUUCCCUCAGAUAUCUGUCAAUUCCCAGCCUUAUAUCUCAAAGCCCCUUUUCAUCCAGGUUUCCUAGAUCAUUUUUUGUCAUCUCUGUGCUAUAAUUCAUUAACCCAGGCAUAAAACUCAUCAACUACUAACAUCCUCUUCCAUCCCAGACUCCCCUCACACCAAUAAUUCUUGAAUACAGCAACCCAAAUGGAGACUUUUAAGUAAAAUUGAAGGUAAAUUUAAUUGCAGGAGCACCUACAACAUUAACCUUUAAAUAGAGAUCCUAAUUCUUUAAAAAAAAAAGUAUUGUCUUCCCUCCCCUACUCUAAGCAAUAUGCAAUAGUGGCUCUUCAAUUGUCCCAGACUCUUCUUCUCUUCCUGGACUGCCCAUCUCCUGAUCAACCCUUAAUUUGUCUUCCUUCUCUUACCCUUCUUUUCAGGAUUGAAUUAAUGAAUCCUUUCUUUUCACUCAUGCAGGGUAAAUUUCUGCCUCCCUGGGCCUUUCUGUUUACUGACCACAACAACCUCAGAUUAUACCUCUUCUACUCCAAGUGCUUUCAAAGAAAGUCCUCUGCCAAGGCAAAUUCAUUACAUUUUUUCCCUCUACCUGUUUGCCUUUAUUCUCUUUUGUAUUUCAUCUUCUCAUCUAGAUUGAAUAAUCUUUGAGAGCACAGAUGUUAAUUUAUAUUUUUUCCUUUCCAUUUCUACUCAGCAUGAGGUGUCCAUUGAACAAACCUGAUGAAUUUUUAUUGCUUAAUAUCUUGCUAGAGGUGGGGAGAGAGGUUGGGGGUGGUUAAGGAACUAUCAGCUAGCCUAAGAGAUAUUAGAGCUGCAGAGAUUUGGCUAUCUUGUUCAACAUUAUAUGCUUAGGGGUUAGUACAUAGGCUUGCAAAUAGCAGAUAUGAAUAAAAAAUUAUUGAAUGAGUAAAUGAAUUUAAAAUAUAAGUUACUUAGGCAGUAUCUUUAGGCAUAUCUGUGUUUAUGUGGUAUUCAAUGGCCCUCAAAUGUCUACAUCCUAAUUCCUAAGAUCUGUAAACAUUAAUUUGCAUGACAAAAGAGACUUUACAGAUAUGAUUAAAUGAAAGGAUUUUGAGAUGCAGAUAAUAUCCUGUAUUCUUCAUGUGGAACCAAUGUAUUUACAAGGGUCCUUACAAGUAAAACAGAGAAGCAGGAAAAUGAGGGUCGCCAAAAAAAAAAAAAAACGUGAAGACAGAGAAGAGGUUAGAGUGAUGUUGGCUUUAGAGAUGGAAGGAGUCACAAGCUGUCUUAGUCUGUUUAGUGUUGUUAUAAAGUAAUAACUGAAGCUGGGUAAUUUAUUUUAAAAAGGUUUAUUUUGCUCACUAUUCUCAUGUCUGGAAAAGUUUAAUAUUGGGUAGCUGCAUCUGGCAAGGGCCUCAGGCUGUUUCCACUCAUGUCAGAACGUAAAGGGGAGCUGGUGUGUAUAGAGAUCAUGUGGGGAGAGAGGAAGCAAGAGAGAGGGAGGAGGGGCCAUGCUUUUUUUUUUUUUUUAAACAACCAGCUCUUUUUUUAAAAAAAAAAUUAUACUUUUAGUUCUGGGAUAUAUGUGCAGAACGUGCAGGUUUGCUACAUAGGUAUACACAUGCCAUGGUGGUUUGCUGCACCCAUUAACCUGUCUUCUACAUUAGGUAUUUCUCCUAAUGCUAUCCCUCCCUUAACCCCCAACCCCUGACAGGCUCUGGUGUGUGAUGUUCCCCUCCCUGUGUCCAUGUGUUGUCAUUGUUCAUCUCCCACUUAUGAAUGAUAACAUGCAGUGUUUGGUUUUCUGUCCUUGUGAUAGUUUGCUGAGAAUGAUGGUUUCCAGCUUCAUCCAUGUCCCUGCAAAGGACAUGAACUUAUCCUUUUUAUGGUUGCAUAUUAUUCCAUGAUGUAUAUGUGCCACAUUUUCUUUAUCCACUCUAUCAUUGAUGGGCAUUUGGGUUGGUUCCAAGUCUUUGCUAUUGUGAACAGUGUUGCAGUAAACAUAUGUGUGCAUGUGUCUUUGUAGUACAGUCAUUUAUAAUCCUUUGGGUAUAUACCCAGUAAUGGGAUUGCUGGGUCAAACGGUAUUUCUGGUUCUAGAUCCUUGAGGAAUUGCCACACUGUCUUCCACAAUGGAACAACCAGUUCUCUUAAGAAUAAAAGUGAGAACUCACUUCCCUGGCCCCAGAGAGAGCAAAAGAGCAUUAAUCUAUUCAUAAGCAAUUCAUCCCCAUCACCCAAACACCUCCCAUUAGGCCCUACCUCCAACAUUGGGAUCAAAUUUCAACAUGAGGUUUUUAGGGGACAAACAUCCAAACUAUGUCACAAGCCAAGUAAUGUAAGCAGCCUCUAAAAGAUGGAAGAGGCAAGGAAACAGAUUCUCCCCUAAAGCCUACAGAAGGAAAGCAGCCCUGCCAACUUCUUGAUUUUAACCCAGUAAGACCUGUUUUGGACUUUGGACACCCAGAGCUGUAAGAUGAUUAUGUUGUUUUAAGCCAUUAAGCUUGAGGAAGUUUGUUACAGCAGCAAUUGGAAACUAAUACAGAUCAUAUUCUAAUUCAAUUAGCAUUGUUCCCAGUUCUCUGGACCUCAGAUUUCUUUCCUGAAAAACAUUAAAAAUAAUACCUGAAAGUUUAGCACACAAGUGCAGUACUUAUUUACUAGAGAGAUCAGCAUUUGUUUAGGCUCUAAAUAGAUUUGAGGAUGAAAUUAAAUAGCAUAAAUAAAGUUCCUAGUGAUGUUUCUGAUAAAAAGUAUUUCCUUCAAAAUGCCAGAGGCAGGUCCUAAAAACCCACAAAGUAGGUGAACUGGCAAAAGACUGUAAAAAGCAAAGUAGAGGUUCCUCUUCAAAGACUUUCCUCUCCAUCUAAUUAGGAAUAAAUAGUAACUUCUCUUAGAAGCAAAAUUUAUUCAAAGAGCUGUGCUAACAUUCUUAAAUAUCUGCUAGCCGUAAUAGAGAAAUCAAUGUACUUUAUGUUCUUAGCUCCCACAAUUUAACCUAAAUAUUUGCCUUGGCAUGCUUAUAUUGGUCCAAGCAAGCAUUAGGUCAUAGCCUGUUCCUCUUCUUUAUUUUAAGGUGUUUUUACCUUUGUCAGCAUGCCACAAGUUACUUCCUCCUUCCUUUGUUCUCCUCUGCCUUUGACUCUUUUAAAGAGUUUAAGUUGCUAGCCAAUCAGGACAAAUACAGAAUGUGAGGUCCCUUUCCAGCCAAUGGAAACCGGACACAGCAGGAAGGUGGAUGGGUCAGGUUAUAAAUGACCCUGUCUCCUUUGUUCGGUGUACUCUCGUGGCAAAACUGCUGGCAAGUGUACCCUUUCUGCAAUAGGUAAAAAUUGCCUUGCUGAGGAAAUUAAAUUUAUGUUCAAGUACUAUUUCUUUACUGCACCAGGGAACAAGCAUUUCUAACAACACUAUGUAAUUUAAUUUCAGGAACCUAGAAAAGUGGGAUGAAGAACUGAGGUUGCUAAUAAAUCUAUACAACUUAUAAGUAAAUAUUUAAUUUACUAAUAUAUAAUAAUAAAGACAUCAUUGUAAGACAAUGUUAAAACAUUUUACACAUUUUAAAUGUGCAAUAGUAAAUCCUUCACUAUUCAUGGAUAUUUGGAAUCCCUUGUCACCAGAAGCUCUUAAGGAAAUAACUUCUACUUUGUUGCAAAUAUGUUCUUGGCUUAGUUGAGGUAACGCAAAUACUAGAAUACUUGUUUAACAGCUUAUUCUUCCCUGAAGCUGGUCCUGCAGUCCCUGCCAGUGGGAUCUUAUGUCUCCAGGAGUACUUAACACCCCUAAUGGCCCCACCUUUUAAGCCUCCCUGGGACCUGCCCUAGCAGUACCUCUUAUACCUACUCCACUUCCUCCUCAUGGCCUCCUGAAGAAUGCCAUUCUAAAAUUAGGUUCUAUUUUCCUCGCCCGCGUUCUCUUUUGCAAAGCCUCCAAAAAAUUUACUUUGCUUCUCUGCGCCUGCUUUAUCUCUAUUUUCUACACUUGCUCCUUCUUUUUCUAAUUAUCUAUAAUAGGUGUCACAAAAUUCGCGUUUGUUGGAACCAAAAUUUCCAUGGUUGCCUCAAAAUAUACAGAUGUAAAUUUGCAUAUAAUUAAAUUUUGCAUAAGGGAAACUCUCAUUUGGGGAGAUACGCAAUGCCCAAUAAAUGGCAGUUUCCUUCUCCAAUGUCCCCAGGCCAGCCUCCCAGUCUGUGUGCUUCUCCCUGGCUGCAGCUACCAGGACUCUGCUCUGGGGAUUUACGGACAAGGGUAUCAAGUUUUAAUUAAACUAACCCUCUCAAACUGAAUGAGUGGCUUAAAAUCUUCCUGUAAAGAAACUGCAAAAUAAUAAUGCUGGCAUCGAGCAGUUAAGAAAAGAGCAGAGCCAGCACCCCCCUAA